AAGGGACAUGCUGAAAACCCUAACAAGCAGCAUUAAAGAGGAAGCUGGAUUGUGGGAUAUGGCCACCAUGGCCUUGGUUACAAGCUGUUGGACGUAUUCCAAGGCCUGUUCAUGGCGUGUGCUGAUGCACAAACUGAAGCACUUAAAGGCAGCUCUGAGACAGACAGUGAGCACACCACAAUAAUGCAAUAACUGUAUGUAUUUUUCAAAUUAUUAUUGAAGCAUGCAACAUGUAACUUCAAACAUGCAUGAAUAUGCUUGAAAAAUCAACAAUUUCAUAUGUAGGUGAAACCAUUAAAAUAUUGUUGAAAAUGCA